CCCUUAGAUGUCCUGGGCCGCACGCGCGUUACACUGAUGCAUACAACGAGCUUAUAACCUUGGCCGAGAGGCCUGGGCAAUCUUGUUAACGUGCAUCGUGAUAGGGAUAGAUUAUUGAAAUUAUUAAUCUUGAACGAGGAAUUCCUAGUAAACGCAGAUCAUCAAUCUGCAUUGAUUACGUCCCUGCCCUUUGUACACACCGCCCGUCGCACCUACCGAUUGGAUGGUCCGGUGAAGCCUCGGGAUUGUGGUUCUUGCCGCUUUAUUGUGGCGUGACCGCGAGAACUUGUCUAAACCUUAUCAUCUAGAGGAAGGUGAAGUCGUAACA
rnacentral:rRNA from 1 species